rnacentral:rRNA from 1 species
UACGUAGGGGGCGAGCGUUGUCCGGAAUUAUUGGGCGUAAAGGGCUCGUAGGCGGUCUGUCGCGUCGGGAGUGAAAACUCAGGGCUUAACCCUGAGCCUGCUUCCGAUACGGGCAGACUAGAGGUAUGCAGGGGAGAACGGAAUCCCUGGUGUAGCGGUGAAAUGCGCAGAUAUCAGGAGGAACACCGGUGGCGAAGGCGGUUCUCUGGGCAUUACCUGACGCUGAGGAGCGAAAGUGUGGGGAGCGAACAGG